rnacentral:misc_RNA from 1 species
GAUGAAGAACGCAGCGAAAUGCGAUACGUAAUGUGAAUUGCAGAUCUCUCAGUGAACCAUCGAAUUUUUGAACGCACAUAGCGCCCGCCGGUCAUUCCGGCGGGCAUGCCUGUCCGAGCGUCGAUGACGCCGCUCGAGCCCCCGUGCUCGGUGUUGGGGCGCUAGGUCUCCCAGAGGCCUAGGCCCCCAAGUAGCAGUGCGCGGUCCGGCUGCGGGCCCCGGGUACAGUAACUUCACUGUUGAGAUGCCCUGGGAGCCGCUGGCUGUGUCAGCCGUAAAACCCCCGACAUAGGCCUUCCUGUCCGCCCCCGGCGGGGAGGGAGACCGCCUAAUGUUGACCUCGGAUCAGGUAGGACUACCCGCUGAACUUAAGCAUAUCAAUAAGCGGAGGA